rnacentral:lncRNA from 1 species
GGGCUGUUCAUAUUCAAAUCUAUCAAAAUUAAAACCUUAAACCUGAAUUUUUGAUAUUUUUUUUAAAAUCAAACUAAACCAAACUGAGGAUAUUGGAAUUGGCUUUGUGCAUCUACAAUGGGUAAGGGAACUGGAAGUUUCGGUAAGAGAAGGAACAAGACCCACACACUCUGUAUCAGGUGCGGUUGCCGCAGUUUCCAUCUCCAGAAGAGUAGAUGCUCUGCUUGUGCUUACCCUCCGUACUGGAAUUGGUACGAUGAGGUACUUGUGUAACGUUCCUCGUCGAUUCAAGAGCGGUUUCAGAGAGGGAACUGAAGCUGCACCUAGGAAGAAGGGAGUUGCGUCUGCUUAAGCAUUUUGAACAUUGUUGUUUUGUUGGGUACUGAGUUUAUUUAUAGAAUUAGUUUGUUGUUUGUGAUUGGGGCAAGGUUUUUAGAACUAU